UGUCAUGGUAGCAGUUUUGUGCAGAUUA
rnacentral:sRNA from 1 species